rnacentral:rRNA from 1 species
GUAAUUUGCAGAGGAUGCUUUUGGCGAGGUGCCUUCCGAGUUCCCUGGAACGGGACGCCACAGAGGGUGAGAGCCCCGUCUGGCGGACACCGAGCCUCUGUAAAGCUCCUUCGACGAGUCGAGUAGUUUGGGAAUGCUGCUCAAAAUGGGAGGUAUAUGUCUUCUAAAGCUAAAUAUUGGCCAGAGACCGAUAGCGCACAAGUAGAGUGAUCGAAAGAUGAAAAGCACUUUGAAAAGAGAGUUAAAAAGUACGUGAAAUUGUUGAAAGGGAAGCGCCUAUGACCAGACUUGGGCCCGGUGAAUCACCCAGCGUUCUCGCUGGGGCACUUUGCCAGGCACAGGCCAGCAUCAGUUUGGCGCGGGGGAGAAAGGCUUCGGGAAUGUGGCUCCCUCGGGAGUGUUAUAGCCCGCCGCGUAAUGCCCUGCGCCGGACUGAGGUACGCGCAUCGCAAGGAUGCUGGCGUAAUGGUCAUCAGCGACCCGUCUUGAAACACGGACCAAGGAGUCGUCUUCGUAUGCGAGUGUUCGGGUGUCAAACCCCUACGCGUAAUGAAAGUGAACGCAGGUGAGAGCUUCGGCGCAUCACCGACCGAUCCUGAUGUUCUCGGAUGGAUUUGAGUAAGAGCAUACGGGGCCGGACCCGAAAGAAGGUGAACUAUGCCUGUAUAGGGUGAAGCC